rnacentral:tRNA from 1 species
GGUGGGAUGGCAGAGCGGCCGAAUGCGACGGUUUUGAAAACCGUUGUCGGGUAAUUCCGACCGGGGGUUCGAAUCCCUCUCCCACCGCCA